GCGAGGGGCGGGGCGCGGCGCUGCGGCGACUUCGGGCCCCCGGGAAACAGCCCGCGCGCGCUGCCUCCGUUCCGGGGGAGAGAACGUCCUCUUCUCGCCGGCAGCCGCCCUCGGGCUGGAACUGCUCCGGCCGCAGGGCUGGGGCCGAGCCCACUCACAACCGGCCGGAGGCGGAUUGCGGGAAGAGAGUCCGCGGCUCUUUCCAGCGUACAGACGCAGCUUCCUGACUUGCGGGACGAACUCCGACCGGAGGCUGGACAAUUGAGCUUCCGGCGGAAGUGGCGUGUCCCGGGCUCCGGCCCCGCCCCGCCCAAUCUGUCAGAUUGUGGGCGUGGCUACCGUCCUCGCCAGCGCGUCCCUUGGGGGCGUGUCUAGGAAACGCGGGGCGGGGGCGACGGGCGGUGUCCGUGCAGCGCGGAAGCGGGGCGCCUGGGUCUGCGAACCCCAAAGUCCAAAUCUCCCACCACGCCAGUCCUUCAUCUUUCAGAUCUGCGUUUAUCUAGGCUGUACUCCCAAGGGAUAGGACAGAAAGGAGGGUGUUUGAGGCAAAGGGCACACACUGCAACAGAAAUAACGCAGCAUGUGGCACACUCAAGGAAGUGCUGGAAGGUUUUGCCAGGAGGAAGAGAGCUUCUUCCAUGCCAGGCUAUUCGGAGCCCUUCAGAUCUCAACAUCUCAUUUGCACUGGGCUCCCCAUGGCUGCCACCUCAGCAGUUAUAACUGGCCCAGAACCUGGGCGCUCCUGGGCCUCUUCUGGGCAGCAUACAGACUGAUCUGGCUGUAGGUCCCCUGCCGGAAGGGGCCUGACGCCUCUGCCUCUCCUGCUUUGGGCACUUCCCUAGACAAAAUCCAGCAAUGCCAUCCCACUGCUCUCCGAUCCUGUUGGCUCUGGGUUCUCGGCCGCACCAGGAGCCCUGACAGAGGCUGGCCCAGCAAGGCCUCCUGAGGACUGACCAUGUACCAUGGGGCUUGGACUGCAAACCAGGAGGGGCCAGUGUGCAGCCCCUUGGAAGGGGCACGAUAGAUGGGGGUAUGGGCAGGAGUGGCCCCUCUUUUGAUGGGAGCAGUUGAGAACCUAAGAAGGACUCAGGUCUGGGGACAGGCAGAGAAGUUAGAAGACUCAGGGCUGGGUCCAAGGAGCCAGAGACAGGCACGUCUCCCUCUGCACAUGCUGGCCACGUGCCCCACAGGCAGCCCAGCCAGCAGGACAGGCAGGGCUCCAACCCCUUUGUGGGCUGGCUGUGGAGUGGGGUGGGAGGGUGCUGAGGAACCGAAGUACAAAGUCACAAAAACCUCAUGUGGUGCACACCCCCUGGCUCUGUAAAACGGCGGCUCUGGGGAUCACUGCCUUGGUCCCAUAGCUCCGCCUGCGGUUUACAGCCAACCAGCUCUUUUCUUAGCCUGUCCGCUCAUAGAAAUGGGGAACCCAAGUCCCCCGGAGUCAGCCCGCACCGUGGGCCCGGCAGUUGGAUCCUGCACAGCCUGAGGAAAAUCGCCCAUUCUCUUUAAACCUGGGCAAAAAAGAUGGUACACCCUCCAAGAGACACGUCUUUGGUCUGACAGCUGGACUGAGCAGCGUAGGAGCCGAUGUCAGAGGCCUCACGGCCGCACAGGCAUGCCUGGGGCUCAGGAACGACGCUGUGGCUCCCU